GGGAAUAUUGCACAAUGGGCGCAAGCCUGAUGCAGCCAUGCCGCGUGUGUGAAGAAGGCCUUGGUUGUAAAGCACUUUCAGCGGGGAGGAAGGCGUUAAGGUUAAUAACCUUGGCGAUUGACGUUACCCGCAGAAGAAGCACCGGCUAACUCCGUGCCAG
rnacentral:rRNA from 1 species